GCAUUGGUGGUUCAGUAGUAAAGUUCUCCCCUUCCAUGCAGGAGACGUGGGUUCAAUUCCCAGCCAGUGCA
rnacentral:tRNA from 1 species